GGGCUCGUGGUGUAGCUUGGUCUAGCAUCGGGGCUUAGGGAGCCUCAGACCCGAGUUCAAAUCUCGGCGAGCCCA
rnacentral:tRNA from 1 species